AUGGAGCAUAGAUGCUAUCAGCAAAUGUCAGAUCAAAGAGAUACUAGAUGGAUCAGAAGAUCCACUUAUGUUGUGUCCAAGCAGGAAAGAAUGGAUAAAAAGUUUGGAGUGCGCAUUGAAGAGCAAGGAGGUCUUUUGCACAGGGUGAGUUGUUCUUGCCGUAAGCUGGAAUGCGCAGGCACACCAUGUUCCCAUAUUUUUUACAUAUUGGGGAUUUUAAAACAAACAAUUUUGCCCGGUUGUUGCGUUCCCACUAGGUGGACUAUGAAUGCAAAAUGUGCAUACGCACCUACCAGAAAAAACCAGAUGUAUGACUAUUCAGUAAGCCUGCAGAGGUACCGCGAGUUGCGUAAUUGUAGUCACGCCGCAAGUUUCAAGGCAUGCCACUCUGAUGAGGACUAUCAUCGUCUAAAGAUGCUUUUGCAAGCACAACAUCAUGGCAAGCAAUCAAGUUUUGAACAAGCUGACAGCAAGGACUCAACUAAUGCUCAGCAUAACAGCAUUAGGUUUGGCCCGUUGAUGCCGCACUCGGAGAAAGUUGAUAAGGUUUAG
rnacentral:rRNA from 1 species